rnacentral:lncRNA from 1 species
CGGGCCUCGGCCAGGCCUGAGAGGCCGGGAGGGUUUGACCCUGGGGCUGCAUGGACAGCUUAGCGCUCGGCCGCUGGCGACGGCGGAGGGCGGAGGAUCUGCAGGUUCCGGGGGACGUGCCUAGAGGCUCUGUACUCUGCACAUAACCACCAGCAAAGUUUUGAAAAACACAGCAGCCAGGACCCAUCUCUGUAGUGACUUUGCAGGUGAUUCUCGGGCAGGGCCAGAGUGAAGCACCUCUGCUGUGAUACAACGUUUUGAGCGCCUGCUGUGUCUCAAGCCCUGUCCUAGGCACUGGAGAUGAGAUGAAGAAACGAUGAGUAGAGACCUUGCUUACGUUUAUCCUGCAACUCAUGGUGAGGCUUACUCUGCAGCUCCAGUGCUCGGCUUUUU